rnacentral:rRNA from 1 species
GACGAACGCUUUCUUCUUUCUUAACACAUGCAAGUCGAACGGAAAGGCCCUACUUUUGUGGGGUGCUCGAGUGGCGAACGGGUGAGUAACACGUGAGUAACCUGCCCUUGACUUUGGGAUAACUUCAGGAAACUGGGGCUAAUACCGGAUAGGAGCUCCUGCUGCAUGGUGGGGGUUGGAAAGUUUCGGCGGUUGGGGAUGGACUCGCGGCUUAUCAGCUUGUUGGUGGGGUAGUGGCUUACCAAGGCUUUGACGGGUAGCCGGCCUGAGAGGGUGACCGGCCACAUUGGGACUGAGAUACGGCCCAGACUCCUACGGGAGGCAGCAGUGGGGAAUAUUGCACAAUGGGCGGAAGCCUGAUGCAGCAACGCCGCGUGCGGGAUGACGGCCUUCGGGUUGUAAACCGCUUUCGCCUGUGACGAAGCGUGAGUGACGGUAAUGGGUAAAGAAGCACCGGCUAACUACGU